CGCUCUGGUAGCCUAGUGGUUAGAGCAUCCGCCUCAGAUGCGAGACGUUGUGGGUUCGAUCCCCGUUCGAGUCA